GAUGAACGCUGGCGGCGUGCCUAACACAUGCAAGUCGAGCGGAAAGACGCAGCUUGCGCCUGGAUUCAGCGGCGCGCGGGUGUGUAAUGCCUAUGAAUCGCCCUCACAUUUGGGGAUAACGUCGGGAAACAGGCGCUAAUACCGCAUACUGCCUGAGCGGGAUGGUGGGGGAUCGUCGGACCUCACGCUUGCAGAUGAACCUAGGUCGGAUUAGCUAGUUGGUGGGGUAAAGGCCUACCAAGGCGACGAUGCGUAACUGGUCUGAGAGGAUGAUCAGUCACACUGGAACUGAGACACGGUCCAGACUCCUACGGGAGGCAGCAGUGGGGAAUGUUGGCCAAUGGGCGAAAGCCUGAUCCAGCGAUGCCGCGUGUGUGAAGAAGGUCUUCGGAUUGUAAAGCACUUUUAGUUGGGAGGAACGGCUGUAGGAUGAUACAAUGCUGUUUUGACGUUACCAGCAGAAGAAGCACCGGCUAACUACGUG
rnacentral:rRNA from 1 species